CUUACAGAGAUCUUUGGCAUUCUGUCCACCUCCUCUCUCUAUAUAAUAUGUUUGUGUAGUAAGCGUAAGUAUCUUCCUUGUGUUUUGUGGGAGGAGGUGGGCAUACUGCCAAUAGAGAUCUGUUAG
rnacentral:pre_miRNA from 1 species